CGGAUUCGGUCACCUUCGCACUGCGGUCACAUUGUGACUUACAGACCGCGCGGGUGAGUCUUUUGCGAAUCGUUAUGAUCACCGCGGCUUCUGCUUACUUCGAGAAGUAAUUACAUUCGGCAACGAGAGAACCGAGAUGCAGGGUAAAUUUACGUGGACGAAUCUCCAGCGGCUGGAUGCAUCCGUACGGAUUGACGAUGAUCGUAGAUCUUACAGCUAAGCUUGCUUCUUGCAUCGACGCACACGCUCGGUCGGUUGUCAGGUACAAGGCAAUUUCUCGCGAUUAAGCUGCGCAGCUGCUGCGGAGCCGUAGACUUACAUCUCUCAUCCUUGGCGCAGAACUGCAGACUGGAAAAGUUUUCGCCAAGCUGCAGUGCCGGCUAAACCCCGGCUACACCUUCUUCGUUCCCCGAUACAUGCACGUCCUUAUGUGAGAUCGUCAAGAAUCAGCUAUGCAAUGCCCACGCUUAUAUUACAGUGUAGGUGUACAGUCACCGUAUUAUACGGAGUUGGAAAUUUCUUCAGGUAUUUUGAUUGACCUGUGACGAGAAGAAAUGUGUUGGUAUUUUUAUCGAAGGUUUAGACGCGCGAAAAUAAAAAUACGAACCGCAUCACAAAACACCGCAAAUUUUUUAUACGGUUGAAAGGAUGACUGUGACUCAUAGAUUUAUCCCUGUGAGAAAUUGAACGCCGCGUAAGAUAUUUAACCCAUUGUAAAAAUGUAUGGUUUUUAUCGGUUGUUUCUACUUUUGCUUGCUAUGAUUAUACACUGUCUAUAAAAUGAUAUUAUGACU
rnacentral:lncRNA from 1 species